UACGUAGGGUGCAAACGUUGUUCGAAAUUAUUGGGCGUAAAGGGUGCGUAGGCGGCUUUUUAAGUUGGUAAUGAAAUUGCGCGGCUCAACCGCGUAGCUGUUACCAAAACUGAAAAGCUAGAGUUGUCGAUAGAGGUAGCGGGAAUUCCUGGUGUAGGAGUGAAAUCUGUAGAUAUCAGGAGGAACACCAAGGGUGAAGACAAGCUACUGGGUUACGACUGACGCUGAGGCACGAAAGCUAGGGGAGCAAAUGGG
rnacentral:rRNA from 1 species